GGCACUUUCCAGGUAUCGUGAACUAGAAGUAAAUCCAUAUGAAAGGAUCCAGGAAAUAAAGCACACACUUCAUGACUUCAUAGAAACCAUACAUCUCAAUAACUUUUACUGGACAUUUGGGGAAAAAAAGAACUAUUAACGAUUCACACAGCUUGGCAUAAAAGUGUUCAAGACCUAGGUUCAAAGUUUGAUUCUUCCAUUUACUUCCUGCCUGCUUUAGAACAAGUUACGUCAGCCCCAGGCCUCAGUUUCCCUAUCUGUUUAGAGGGUGUGAGGAUACUGACCUGGCGGAUCUGUGGACUGUGGGCUCCAUCCACUGGGCUGCAGGAUCAGCGGGAACAAGGGCCGUGGUUUCCUCUUGCUCACCGUUAUAUCCCCAGCACCUAGCAUAGGACAGGCACGGAGAGGCGUUAAGAAUUUGCCCAACGGACACGUGGAUAAAGAAUGAUCGAAUGAAUUAAGAGCUUAGUUAAGGAAAUGUCAGCUCCCGGCCUUUAUCCCUCCUAUUUUCUGGGCCUCUCGCCUGUUAGGGGGAUUCAUCCACGACCCGGGCCCAGGCCCUUGACGCUGAACGUGGGAGACUGUCCGCGCGCCCCCACUGCAGUCCGAGGAGGAAGCGCGCGGGGCCCUAGACGCCCAUCUCCGUUAGCUGCCACCACUCCGGCUCCAGGCGCCGAGCUGUUGGCCACCUUCGCCCCUUGGUUGAAUCUCAGUCGCAAGAUGGCCGGAACAGGAAAGAAGGGGGCAUGCUUUUCCGUUCUCUCCGUUUCCCACCCCCUGGCAGCGCCUCCCGCCCCGGGGGCACGGCGGGGCCGGCCAGCCGAACCGGCAAAGACAAAAGCCGAACCCGCAAAGACAAAGGCAAAUGGGGAGUGGGAACUGCGCCAGCGGGGUCUACAUUUCCUCGGCUCGCAGCCAGGGGAAGAGAGAGGAAGGCCCAUCUUCGCGACCACCGAGAUGCCCCGUCCACCGCCGGCUUCCAUGGUCUCCUGGCGCAUCCCGGGCCUCGGCUCACCCCAGCUGCGCGCUCCUGGGCUGGGGCCGGGCGCUGCAAGCGGACUGGGGCGACGCUGGAGACGCAGACCCCAGGGGCACUGCUGGCGCAGGCAGGGCCCGCGGAGGCCGAUGAGCAGCGGCGGGCCGGGACCUUCUUCCAGGGCGCAGGAUGAAGCUUGUCAGGUCUGAGCAAGUCCUGGCUAGGUGAGCCGCCUGGCGCCGCUCCGGGCCCUCCCAGACUUCCCGGUCGCGGGCGUCUUGGGAUCCCCCACCCCCCUCCCGCCCCCUUCCCCUCCACGAUCUGCCCCCGGCUUCUUCUCUCCGCGUCCUAGCUCCUCUGGCAGCUGGGCG
rnacentral:lncRNA from 1 species